GAUGGAUCCAAAAAUCAGAUUGUUGGGACAGUCCCUCCGAGUUUAGGGAGUCUGGUUUCAUUAGUUGCUCUCAAUUUAAGUUGGAACCACCUGCGAGGUCAGAUUCCUAGCAGACUUGGCCAGAUAAAGGAUCUCAGUUACCUCUCUUUGGCUGGCAAUAAUCUGGUUGGCCCAAUCCCCUCAAGUUUUGGCCAAUUGCACUCUUUAGAAACGCUUGAACUUUCUUCGAAUUCUUUGUCUGGUGAAAUUCCAAAUAAUCUGGUAAAUUUGAGGAAUUUGACUUCCCUUCUUCUGAACAACAACAAUUUAUCAGGGAAAAUACCUUCAGGCUUGGCCAAUGUGACCACACUGGCAGCAUUUAACGUUUCUUUCAAUAAUCUGUCUGGGCCACUGCCUCUUAACAAAGAUUUGAUGAAGUGUAAUAGUGUUCAGGGAAACCCCUUUCUGCAAUCGUGCCAUGUAUUUUCUCUAUCAACACCUUCUACAGAUCAGCAGGGAAGAAUAGGGGACUCACAAGAUUCUGCUGCGUCUCCUUCAGGUUCAACCCAGAAAGGAGGGAGCAGCGGUUUCAACUCCAUAGAGAUUGCAUCCAUAACAUCUGCGGCAGCUAUUGUGUCAGUUCUUCUUGCUCUGAUAGUCCUGUUCUUUUACACCAGAAAAUGGAAUCCAAGAUCUAGAGUUGCUGGAUCUACCAGGAAAGAAGUCACAGUGUUUACAGAAGUUCCGGUUCCUUUAACAUUUGAAAAUGUAGUGCGGGCCACAGGGAGCUUCAAUGCUAGCAAUUGCAUAGGCAGUGGAGGUUUUGGAGCAACAUACAAAGCGGAGAUUGCACCAGGGUUCCUAGUGGCAGUAAAGCGACUUGCUGUAGGACGUUUUCAGGGGAUUCAACAGUUUGAUGCAGAAAUCAGAACUCUGGGGAGGCUUCGACAUCCAAACCUCGUAACUCUGAUAGGAUAUCAUAAUAGUGAAACAGAAAUGUUUCUGAUCUAUAACUAUUUGCCAGGUGGUAAUUUGGAAAAGUUUAUUCAGGAGAGGUCUACAAGGGCUGUGGACUGGAGGGUUCUUCACAAGAUUGCUUUGGAUGUAGCCCGUGCACUUGCUUACCUGCAUGAUCAGUGU
rnacentral:misc_RNA from 1 species